ACGAACGCUGGCGGCGUGCUUAACCCAUGCAAGUCGAACGGAAAGGCCCUGCUUGCAGGGUACUCGAGUGGCGAACGGGUGAGUAACACGUGGGUGAUCUGCCCUGCACUUCGGGAUAAGCUUGGGAAACUGGGUCUAAUACCGGAUAGGAGCCAUCUUUAGUGUGGUGGUUGGAAAGUUUUUUCGGUGUAGGAUGAGCUCGCGGCCUAUCAGCUUGUUGGUGGGGUAAUGGCCUACCAAGGCGGCGACGGGUAGCCGGCCUGAGAGGGUGUACGGCCACAUUGGGACUGAGAUACGGCCCAGACUCCUACGGGAGGCAGCAGUGGGGAAUAUUGCACAAUGGGCGCAAGCCUGAUGCAGCGACGCCGCGUGGGGGAUGAAGGCCUUCGGGUUGUAAACUCCUUUCGCUAGGGACGAAGCUUUUUUGUGACGGUACCUAGAUAAGAAGCACCGGCUAACUACGUG
rnacentral:rRNA from 1 species